rnacentral:misc_RNA from 1 species
GAUGAAGAACGUAGCGAAAUGCGAUAAGUAGUGUGAAUUGCAGAAUUCAGUGAAUCAUCGAAUCUUUGAACGCACAUUGCGCCUCCUGGUAUUCCGGGAGGCAUGCCUGUUCGAGCGUCAUUAAAAUCACUCAAGCUUAGGUUUACCUAUUGCUUGGUCUUGGAGAUGGAAGCCAAUUUAUUGGAAUCCUCUUCGAAAUUCAAUGGCGAAGACCCUUGCUCUCCCAAGUGUAGUAAUAACUUAUGUUACUGAAGGAAGCGAGAAAUCUUCUGCCGUAACCCCCAUAUUUUCUAUGAUUGACCUCGGAUCAGGUAGGGAUACCCGCUGAACUUAAGCAUAUCAAUAAGCGGAGGA